UUUCCAGAUGAUGAUCCCAAGCCUUCUGGCGAUCUGUUUGCACAAGCCUCUGAGAGGGAUGAAGAUAUUGUUUUCUUUGAUCAGAUUAUGCCGGUAAAGGUUUUCUGGUUUACCCUAUAGGGCUUGUAGCUCAGUUGGUUAGAGCGCGCGCUUGAUAAGCGUGAGGUCGGAGGUUCAAGUCCUCCCAGGCCCACCAGUUACACGAUGCUAAAAGUUGCUAUAUUGGGAGAGUUGAUAAUCCCUUACAGGAAAUUAUUGCCCUUAAUAAAACUUUAUUUUCUAAAAGCAUUCAGAGCUGACAUAGAAUAGAGCUGACAUAGAAUUGAGAAUCUGACAUAGGAAUUAUUGAAAUUGUUUUGGAAUUAUUGAAAUUGUUUUCUAUCAUUUUAAAAGGCUAAAAUAUUCUGUCUCUAUUUUUAAAAUAGCAUCAGGUGUUUUGUAAGAGUGUGAAGUUUUUAAGUGUGAGGUUUUUUAUAUUUUAGUGUGAGGUUUUUAUAAGGGUAUGACGUGAGAGCGUUUUGACCUGUUUUAGGGGCCGUAGCUCAGCUGGGAGAGCACCUGCUUUGCAAGCAGGGGGUCGUCGGUUCGAUCCCGUCCGGCUCCACCAUAAUUUGGUUCAUCAUUAUUGUUAGAAGAAUAGUUAUUGCAAGAGAUUGAGAGAUCUCUUUGCUUGUUCUAUUGAAAUUGUGAAGAAGAAGAUAUAUUUCAGACAUGUUA
rnacentral:tRNA from 1 species